rnacentral:rRNA from 1 species
GGGCGAAAGGGUGNCCCAGCAACGCCGCGUGGAGGAAGAANNCCGUAAGGUUGUAAACUCNUUUUAGUGGGGAUGAAAAUUUNUGUUUCGCAAGGGGCAGAACUUGACCGUACCCACAGAAAAAGCCCCGGCUAACUACGUGCCAGCAGCCGCGGUAAUACGUAGGGGGCAAGCGUUUUCCGGAUUUNGGGGGUGUAAAGGGCGCGCAGGGGGAUGUGUUAGUCAGGGGAGAAAUCCUGGGGCUCAACCGUAGAACUGCCUGUGAUACUGCAGAUCUUGAGUUGGGGAGAGGGGAGNGGAAUUCCAGGUGUAGUGGUGAAAUGCGUAGAUAUGGGGAAGAACACCAGUGGCGAAGGCGGCUUUUUGGUCCGCAAGAGACGCUGAGGCGAGAAAGCGUGGGGAGCACACAGGAUUAGAUCCCCUGGUAGUC